UCGAUUAGAGUUUGAUCAUGGCUCANNACGAACGCUGGCGGCAGGCCUCAAACAUGCAAGUCUAGGGGACGUAGCAAUACGUCACCGGCGGACGGGUGCGUAACACGUGGGAAUAUACCUUUCGGUUCGGAACAACGCAGGGAAACUUGCGCUAAUACCGAAUACGUCCUUACGGAGAAAGAUUUAUCGCCGAAGGAUUAGCCCGCGUUCGAUUAGCUAGUUGGUGAGGUAAUGGCUCACCAAGGCAACGAUCGAUAGCUGUUCUGAGGGGAAGAUCAGCCACACUGGGACUGAGACACGGCCCAGACUCCUACGGGAGGCAGCAGUUGGGAAUAUUGGACAAUGGGGGCAACCCUGAUCCAGCAAUGCCGCGUGGAUGAAGAAGGUUUUCGGAUUGUAAAGUCCUUUCGGCGGGGACGAUGAUGACGGUACCCGCAGAAGAAGCCCCGGCUAACUUCGUGCCAGCAGCCGCGGUAAUACGAAGGGGGCUAGCGUUGCUCGGAAUGACUGGGCGUAAAGGGCGCGUAGGCGGCGUGCACAGUCAGGCGUGAAAUUCCUGGGCUUAACCUGGGGGCUGCGCUUGAUACAUGCAUGCUCGAGUGUGGAAGNNNGUCGUGGAAUUCCCAGUGUAGAGGUGAAAUUCGUAGAUAUUGGGAAGAACACCGGUGGCGNNNNCGGCGACCUGGUCCAUAACUGACGCUG
rnacentral:rRNA from 1 species